AAGGUUGAAAAAAUGCCCAUUGAUGAAUGACAUCAAAGGACUACUAUUUUGACUCGUAUGCUCACUUUGGCAUCCAUGAAGAAAUGUUGAAGGAUGAAGUUCGAACGCUACUUACCGAAAUGCAAUGUACCACAACAGACAUUUGUUUAAAGGCAAGACUGUUCUUGAUGUUGGAUGCGGUACAGGCAUUCUGUCCAUGUUUGCUGCGAAGGCUGGUGCUGCCAAAGUUUAUGGGAUUGAAAUGUCAAAUAUUGUAGAACAUGCUAAGAAAAUUGUAACUGCUAAUAAUCUUGAUAAUGUCGUGGAAAUAAUUCAGGGCAAGUAGAAGAAGUAACUUUGCCAGUAGAGAAAGUGGAUAUAAUCAUCAGUGAGUGGAUGGGCUACUGCCUCUUUUAUGAGUCAAUGUUAGACACAGUCCUCUAUGCUCGUGAUAAGUGGCUGGCCACAGACGGAAUGCUCUUCCCUGAUCGGGCAACUCUUUUUGUUUCUGCAAUUGAGGACCGUCAGUACAAGGAUGACAAAAUCAACUGGUGGGAUAGUGUAUAUGGGUUUGACAUGUCUUGCAUCCGUGAAGUAGCCAUGACAGAACCCCUGGUGGAUGUAGUGGAAGCAAAGCAGGUUGUGACAAAUUCUUGUCUAGUUAAAGAAGUUGAUCUUUACACAGUGAAGAAGGAAGACUUAGCAUUCAGCUCACCAUUUCAUCUACAGGUCCGAAGGAAUGAUUAUGUACAUGCUCUUAUCGCUUAUUUCAAUAUUGAAUUUACAAAGUGUCAUAAGAGGACUGGUUUCUCUACAGCUCCAGAGCACGAUACACACACUGGAAGCAAACUGUUUUCUACUUUGAUGAUUACCUGACAGUGAAACAUGGAGAAGAGAUUUUUGGAACCUUUACCAUGAAACCAAAUGAGCGUAACAAUCGUGACUUAGAUUUCCAAGUAGAAAUGGAAUUCCAUGGAGAACUGUCAGAAUGCAGGGAAUCUCACAAAUACAAGAUGCGUUAAAAGCAGUGCUGGUUUAUACUGUGAUCACUUGUCAGUCCACUGUAGGUGAUCAGCUUCUUUUGAAAUUAAGGAUCUAUUUCAUAAAGACUUUAUAAUGCAAGUGAAGGAAAUGUCUCAAGUCAGCAUAUGGUGUUACUAUUAUUGACAGGAAAAUCAAACACUUCAUGAAGCGCCAACUACUGAAGAUAACUUGAAAAUGGAUGAGCAUUAGACUCCGCCUCUCUUCCAGGAACUUGAAAAGAAUCCUGGUGGGUGAGCAUAAUCAUCUGCUUCUCCAGUGCUAGAGGAUUGAGCAAAGACUCCUGACCUCUCCUUAUUUACGUAUGUGGCUUUAGCCAGUGUUCUGAUGUGGCAUAUCACAUCUGAGUGGUGCAAGUCGACAGUAAAUGAAAAAGUGAAGUGAAAGUGGAAAAAAUUCUUUUACGUAUAUGUCAGUGAAUCAUCUUUUUGCAGAAGAGUUGGGCAGAAGUCAUAAGUGGACUCUGUAGUAAAUUAUUAAUUACAGUGUAUCAAAAAUGUGCUAUUCUAUCUUGUUUAUCAGUAUACAUAGGUUUGAUUUUUAUGAUUCUGUGUAAAUAUCUAAUGUUUACAUGAGUAAUUGUACUUAUUUGUGGCAGUUCCAAACCAAAUAAAAUUGUCAUCUGAUUAUAUAAAAAAUCAUGCAGCUAGGAAUGUUUUGAAGGCUUGUAUAAGACACAGGAAGCCCAUUGUGAGGGCCCAUGUCAUUCCAGGGUGUAGCUUAAGUGAGCUGUAUGAUAAAAUAUUUUCAGAUGGCAGUUCAUUAGUUUUUUGUUUGAAGAAUAUUUUAUCUAUAUUUUCUCCCAAAUUAAUCAUACUUUUUUCACUGAAGCUUUUGUAAAGAAAAUCUUAAAUUACUUGAAAGGUAAAAAGUGAUUUUUUAAAAAACUCCAAUUGCUUGUCAUACAGAAGACCAUAGGGUUUUCCUAUUUAGUCUCUUACAUGGAUCAACACUGACACAAAGUCCAACACACACAAAUCACACAAUUUGGUUGUCACAAGAUUCCAAUACCUGCAUUUAGUUGAGGAAUGUUUGUGCCUCAUUACAUGCUUUAGAACAAAAUAUCAGUUGUAUCAGUCAUUUAGUAUUUUAAUCGACGAGUCAGAUUUACAAUCUAUCUUAUUGGUCUCAAUAUUAAUGAUAGCACAAAUGAUAUAACAUUAUAAAGUGAAAUCUCUACAUAGACAUUUAUUAUAAAGGAUCAUUACUGACAAA